AGCUGUGGAGACGCCACUGUCAGUGAGAUAAGUGUCUGGUUUGGUGAGGGCUCUGCUCACGCCCAACCUGAGUCCAGGUUGGGAAGCCCACUAAGUUGGGGCUGGGUUUGUAUGAAAAGGUUCCUGACUAACUGUGGUUACGAGGGGGAAAAGGUCCCUAUUUUCAGAGGUUGUUCAUUUCUCUGGUCAGGAAUGGUGUCUCCUCUGCAGCGGAAGGUUGGAUUCAGAAGGAUGACUCCAGGUGGUCAGUUGCUUGCUUUCCUCCCAUGUUUUUCUUUCUCUCUCUCUCUUGUCUAGUAUGUUGGCCAACACACACCCUCUAGCUCUCGCUGUCUGUCCUUGCCUUUCCUCGUGUUGUCUCCCUUCGUAAGACACGGGCAGCCGUGUAACUUGUGUAUCCCCACAGGCUAUGUCUCGGGAGCCACGGAGAAGUAGGAGGGGACGAAAACCAUGCAGGGCUGUAACUGUCGGUGUUAACUUGGUCUCUGUUCAUCGAGUGGGGCUGAUGUAGAUGGGAUUGGAGAGGGAGGCCAGGAUGAGGGCAAGAUUUGAAGCAACAAAUAGAGCUUUAAGUAGUGAUGGCUCAUGCUUGGCUUUUGCAGCUGCGCUUCCAGAGGAAUUUUCCAAGAGCCCUAUCCUGAGGAGAAAGUGGCAGAAGUGGACCUGAGCAGACUGGACAUCCCUGUAAGCAGACAUGAACAUCCUUGUCAGCAGACAUGAACAGUCCUCAACUUUCUGGCUCCCGCAUAACUGGCUUACCGAGGGAAAAGAAAUCAAACGUCAGCGUUUCCUCCCCUUCUCGGAUGGAAAGCGAGCAAGAGCAGUGAGCCUGCGAACAUUGUGGAUGCAAGUCAGGAGCCGUCCAGUUAGCAGUGGAGCAGUCGCUACCGUCAGUGAGAUAAGUGUGUGGUUUGGUGAGGGUUCUGCGUAGGGCCCCAAUGGCUCCAGGUAGGGACGCCCCGUUAGCUGGGGCUGGGUUUGUAAGAAAUGGUUCCUAAGCAGCUGUGGUUACGAGAGAGACAAGGUCCCCAUUUUCAGGGACUGCUCAUUUCUCUGCCCAGAUGCGGUGUGUCCUCGGAAGCAGAAGGUUGCAUCCAGGAGGAUGACUCCAGGUGGUGAGUUGCUUGCCUUCCUCCCAUUUUUUUCUCUCUGUCUCUUUCUCUCUCUCCUCUAGUGUGUUGGCCAACUUUCUCACUCUCUUUCCUCUCCUCUCCUCGUGCCGUCUCCCUUCGUAGGACCACGGGCAUCCGUGCUAGGUGUGCAUCCUAGCCAGGUCUCGGGAGCCAUGGAGAAGUAGGAGCGGGGCAGUGGGCACAAAAGUGGAGCUGUGACUGUCUGUGUUUACUUAGUUUCUGUUCAUCGAGUGGGGCUGAUGUAGAUGGGACUGGAGAGGGAGGCAGGGAUGAGGGCAAGACUCGACGCCCCAAUAGAGCUCUGUGUAGUGAUAGUUCUUGCUUGGCUUUAUUAGUUUGCGGAGGAAUCGUCCAGGAGCCCUAGCCGGACAAGAAUAUGGCAGAAGUGGACCUGAGCAGCCUGGACAUCCUUCUAAGGAGAUAUGAAUAGUCCUCAUGUUUCUGCCUUCUGCAUCGCUGGCUGUGAGUAAGAGGUUUAGAGCCAAGGAAAACGAAGUCACGCGUCGGAGUCUACUGCCCUCAUGCGAUGGAAAGCGAGCGAGAGCGUUGAGACUCUGAGCAUUGUUGAUGCCACUCAAAAGCCGUCCAUCUGGGAGCUGUGGAGACGCCGCUGUCAGUGAGAUAAGUGUCUGGUUUGGUGAGGGCUCUGCUCACGCCCAACCUGAGUCCAGGUUGGGAAGCCCACUAAGUUGGGGCUGGGUUUGUAUGAAAAGGUUCCUGACUAGUUGUGGUUACGAGGUGGAAAAGGUCCCUAUUUUCAGAGGUUGCUCAUUUCUCUGGUCUCCUCUGCAGCAGAAGGUUGGAUUCAGGAGGAUGACUCCAGGUGGUGAGUUGCUUGCUUUCCUCCCAUUUUUUCUCUCUCUCUCUCUCUCUCUCUCUCUCUCUCUCUCUCUCUCUCCUCUUGUGUGUUGGCCAACUUUCUGACUCUUUCCUCUCCUGUCCUCGUGCCGUCUCCCUUCAUAGGACACGGGCAUGCGUGCUAGGUGUGCAUCCCCACAGGCCAGGUCUUGGGAGCCAUGGAGAAGUAGGAGGGGACGAAAACCAUGCAGGGCUGUAACUGUCGGUGUUAACUCGGUCUCUGUUCAUCGAGUGGGGCUGAUGUCGAUGGGAUUGGAGAGAGAGGCCAGGAUGAGGGCAAGAUUUGAAGCAACAAAUAGAGCUUUAAGUAGUGAUGGCUCAUGGUUGGCUUUUGCAGCUGGGCUUCCAGAGGAAUUUUGCAGGAACCCUAUGCUGAGGAGAAACUAGCAGAAAUGGACAUGAGCAGACUGGACAUCCUUGUAAGCAAACAUGAACAGUCCUCCGCUUUCUGACUCCCGCAUAAUUGGCUGUGAGUAAGCAGUCAGUGCUUUAAAUUACCAAUCUGAGCUCGCUGUUGUAGUCUUUGCAGGCCGUAUGCUUUCUCGUUCGGUACGGGGCUCUGCGUUUACAGCUGAGGAGGGGCCAGAGUCUGCUUUGCAGAGUGAUUAUUUCGGAUGCCGUUGCAAGGGGUGCUUUUCAGUUCUAGUGCUAAGGGCAUUAUGCGGCGAGGGUUCGGUGCAGAGCGCUUAAGUGCGGGAGAGGCGAAAACAAUAGCCUCCGCGACGUUGCCCACUGAGAUGGUAUCUCACUUGUUUUUCCUCCUUGUGCCGGGUUUAGUACUGAGGGAAAAGAAAUGAAACGUCAGAGUUUACGCCCCUUAUCGGAUGGAAAGCGAUCGAGAGCAGUGAGCCCGCGAGCAUUAUCGAUGCAAGUCAGGAGCCGACCAGUUGGCAGUGGAGCAGUCGCUUCAGUCAGUGAGAUAAGUGUCUGAUUUGGUGAGUGCUCUGCUCACGCUCCACCUGAGUCCAGGUAGGGAAGCCCAGUAAGUUAGGGCUGUGUCUUGUAUGAAAAGGUUCCUGACUAGCUGUGGUCACGAGGGAGAAAAGGUCCCUAUUUUCAGAGGUUGCUCAUUUCUCUGGUCAGGAAUGGUGUCUCCUCCGCAGAGUAAGGUUGGAAUCAGGAAGAUGACUCCAGGUGUGGUCAGUUGCUUGCUUUCCUUUCAUUUUUUUUCUCGCUCUUCUCUCUCUUAUCUAGUGUGUUGGCCAACUUUCUCACUCUCUUUCCUCUCCAGUCCUCGUGCCGUCUCCCUUCGUAGGAGACGGGCAGGGUUGCUCGGUGUGCAUCCCCACAGGCCAGGUCUCGGGAGCCAUGGAAAAGUAGGAGGGGACGAAAACCAUGCAGGGCUGUAACUGUUGGUGUUAACUCGGUCUCUGUUCAUCGAGUGGGGCUGAUGUAGAUGGGAUUGGAGAGGGGAGGCCAGGAUGAGGGCAAGAUUUGAAGCGACAAAUAGAGCUUUAAGUAGUGAUGCCUCAUGCUUGGCUUUUGCAGCUGCACUUCCAGAGGAAUUUUCCAAGAGCCCUAGCCCGAGGAGUAAGUGGCAGAAGUGGACAUGAGCAGACUGGUGGACAUCCUUGUAAGCAGACAUGAACAGUCCUCAGCUUUCUGACUCCCGCAUAACUGGCUGGGUUUGUAAGAAAUGGUUCCUACCCAGCUGUGCUUAGGAGAGAGACAAGGUCCCCUUUUUCAGGGGCUGCUCAUUUCUCUGGCCAGGAGCGGUGUCUCUUCCGCAGCAGAAGGUUGCAUCCAGGAGGAUGACUCCAGGUGUUUCCGGAGGAAUCGUCCAGGAGCCCUAGCCGGACAAGAAUAUUGCAGAAGUGGACCUGAGUAGUCUGGACAUCCUUCUAAGGAGACAUGAAUAGUCCUCAUGUUUCUGCCUUCUGCAUCGCUGGCUGUGAGUAAGAGGUUUAGUAUCAAGGAAAAAAAAGUCACGCAUCAGAGUCUACUGCCCUCAUGCGAUGGAAAGCUACCGGGAGCGUCGAAACUCUGAGCAUUGUCGAUGCCACCCAAAAGCCGUCCAUCUGGGAGCCGAGGAGACGCUGCUGUCAGUGAGAUAAGUGUCUGGUUUGGUGAGGGCUCUGCUCACGCGCAACCUGAGUCCAGGUAGGGAAGCCCAGUAUGGUAGGGCUGGGUUUGUAUGAAAAGGUUCCUGACUAGCUGUGGUCACGAGGGAGAAAAGGUCCCUACUUUGAGAGGUUGCUCAUUUCUCUGGUCAGGAAUGGUGUCUCCUCCGCAUCAGAAGGUUGCAUCCAGGAGGGUGACUCCAGGUGGUAAGUUGCUUGCUUUCCUCCCAUGUUUUUAUUUCUCUCUUUGUCUGUCUGUCUGUCUCUUUCUCUCUCUCUCUCGUACGCUGGCCAACACACAGCCUCUAUCUCUCCCUCUCUGUCUGUCCUUGCCUUUCCCUGUACUGUCUCCCUUUGUAGGACACAGGCAGGCGUGCUAGGUGUGCAUCCCCACAGGCCAGUUCUUGGGAGCCAUGGAGAAGUAGGAGGGGAGGAAAAUCAUGCAGGGCUGUGACUGUCGGUGUUAUCUCGGUCUCUGUUCGUCGAGUGGGGCCGAGGUAGAUGGGAUUGGAGAGGGAGGCCAGGAGGAGGGCAAGAUUUGAAACACCAAUAGAGGUUUGUGUAGUGAUGGCUCAUGCUUGGCUUUUAGCUGCGCUUCCAAAGGAAUUUUCCAGGAGCCCUAGCCCGAGGAGAAAGUGGCAGAACUGGACAUGAGCAGACUGGACACCCUUAUCAGCAGACAUGAACAGACCUCGGCUUUCUGACUCCCGCAAAACUGGCUGUGAGUAAGCGGUCAGUGCUUUGAAUUCCUCAUCUGUGCUCGCUGUAGUAUUCUUCACAAGUCGUGUGCUUCCUCGUUGGGUACGGGGCUCUGUGAGAUUACAGCUGGGGAGGGGCCAGAGUCUGCUGUGCAGAGUGAUUAUUUCGGGUGCCGUUGCAAGGGGUGCGUUUUAGUUGUGCUAAAGGCGUAAUGGACAGGGUUUGGGGCGGAGCGCCGCCGUGUGGGAGAGGCGAAAAGAAUAGCCUACGCGACGCUGCCCACUGAGAUAGUAACUUCAUUGUUUUUCCUCCUUGUGCUGGGUUUAGUAUCAGGAAAAGAAAUCAAACGUCAGAGUUUACUCCCCUCGUCGGAUGGAAAGCGAGUGAGAACAGUGAGCCUGUGAGCAUUGUUGAUGCAAGUCAGGAGCCAUCCAGUUGGCAGUGGAGCAGUCGCUAUUGUCAGUGAGAUAAGUGUCUGGUUUGGUGAGGGUUCUGCGUAGGGCCCCCCUGGUCCAGGUAGGGACACCCCGUUAGUUGGGGCUGGGUUUGUAAGAAAUGGUUCCUGACCAGCUGUGGUUAUGAGAGAGACAAGGUCCCCAUUUUCAGGGACUGCUCAUUUCUCUGCCCAGAUGCGGUGUGUCCUCGGAAGCAGAAGGUUGCAUCCAGGAGGAUGACUCCAGGUGGUGAGUUGCUUGCCUUGCUCCCAUGUCUUUCUAUCUGUCUCUCUCUCUUCACUAGUACGUUGGCCAACACACAGCCUCUAUCUCUCCCUCUCUGUCUGUCCUUGCCUUUCCUUGUUCUGCCUCCCUUCGUAGGACACAGGCAGGUGUGCUAGGUGUGCAUCCCCAGAGGCCAGGUCUCGGGAGCCAUGGAGAAGUUGGAGUGGACGAAAAGCAUGCGGGGCAGUGGGCACUAAAGUGGAGCUGUGACUAUCUGUUUACUCGGUCUCUGUUCAUCCAGUGGGGCUGAUGUAGAUGGGACUGGAGAGGGAGGCAGGGAUGAGGGCACGAUUCAACGCACCAGUAGAGCUCUGUGUAGUUCUUGCUUGGCUUUAUUAGUUUGCGGAGGAAUCAUCCAGGAGCCCUAGCCGGACAAGAAUAUGGCAGAAGUGGACCUGAGCAGUCUGGACAUCCUUCUAAGGAGACAUGAAUAGUCCUCAUGUUUCUGCCUUCUGCAUCGCUGGCUGUGAGUAAGAGUACCAAGGAAAACGAAGUCACGCGUCAGUCUACUGUCCUCAUGUGAUGGAAAGCGAGCCAGAGCGUCGAGACUCUGAGCAUUGUUGAUGCCACGCAAAAGCCGUCCAUCUGGGAGCCUAGCAGACGCUGCUGAUAGUGAGAAGUGUCUGGUUUGGUGAGGGCUCUGCUCAGACUCCUCCUGAGUCUAUGUUGGGAAGCCUAGUACAGUAGGGCGGGGUUUGUAUGAAUGGUUCCUGACUAACUGUGGUUACGAGGGAGAAAAGGUCCCUAUUUUCAGAGGUUGCUCAUUUCUCUGGUCAGGAACUGUCUCUCCUCUGCAGCAGAAGGUUACCUCCAGGAGAAUAACUCCAGGUGCUUCCUUUCCUCCCAUGUUUUUCUCUCUCUCUCUCUCUCUCUCUCUUCUCUAGUAUGUUGGCCAACACACGCUCUCUCCUCUCCUCUCCUCUCCUCUCCUCUCCUCUCCUCUCCUCAUGCCCGUUUGUAGAACACUGGUUGGUGUGCAUCCCCACAGGCCAGGUCUCGGGAUCCAUGGAGAAGUAGGAGCGGAAGAAAAUCAUGCAGGGCAAUGGGCGCUAAAGUCGAGGACUGCCCUGUCACCAUUUGCUAUACCCACAAUUUCCCAUUCCUGGGUCUAUGGGAAAGGGAGUUGUGAGAAAUGGGUUGGAUUUUGUCAGAGUUUCAACCAGUGUUCCCUUCAAUUUUUCCCACUCAUGUGUGGAAGGAAUUUUGUUAUGUGCACCAAUAUGGAGGUGAUGUGUCACACAUUACCUUCACAUUGGUGCACGUAACAAAAUUCAUGUGGCGGGUGUGGGGCCGAGGCGUUCGGAGUAUGGGACAGGGCUCAGGGCUGGGGCAGAGCGUUGAGGUGCGGGGGGGGUGAGGGCUCCAUCUGGGGGUGUGGUCUCAGGGCUGGGGAUGAGGAGUUUGGGGUCCAGACUGCCUUGGAACUACAGGAAGUGGGGGGAGAAGACUCCCCGCAGCUCUCUCUCCCCGCAGCAGCACCUGGGCUGGGGGGAGAGCACCUCUCCCUAAUGCGGCAGUUCCAGGGCUGGGGCCACAGAAUCGGUGCUUCUUCCCCGGCCGCAGCAGGUCCGGGGCUGGGGGAGAGGCAUGUCUCCACGCCACAGCUCUGAGUUCCUGCACAGUGCUUAAUAUGCUGCUGCGCAGCUUAGAGGUAACUUAGGUUUCAACUUGUGUGAAAUCACUAUUUUAAUACCUUUUUUUCUAAAUUAGCAAAAUCUUGUUUUACUUGUGUGUAAAUUUUAAAAAGAGGUUUCACAGGAGCAACGGGUGUCCACCUCUCCCUUGGUCUAGAGGUAGCCAUUCCGGCCAACCAGCAAUUCAAGAACCAGUGAAGUCAUGUGAUCAUAAAAAUAGACUUGAUUAUGUUUUGUUUUUUAAUAAUGUAUUAAAUAUGGUAAAUGAGAGUCACUAUAAAACCCUAGGAAGUGUUAGAAGAAGAUAUGAAGGUUUCUUGAAAAGUAAAGAAUUAAAAUGUAUGAAACUCCAUUUCCUGGAGGUAAUGGGAAAGGGUGGCCAGUUCAGGGAAUCGGAACAGCUGAGCAGACCAAUUUGUGAACCUCUCUGUGCAGAUGUCACUUGUAUGUAAACACCUGAAUGAAGACUGUGAGUAUUUAAAGAGCAGGGUGUAUGGGGGGGAGAGGGAAGGUGUCAGAAACUCACUACAUCAUUUCAGAGAGGGAAGAGCAGCCUUGUCUAGACCUUCCCCGCUCCCCCCGCCCCCACCUUCCUUUUGCCCCUGUUACUGUACAUGAUCAGCUUGCUCCAGCAUCCUCAACAGCAAAGUAACCGAUUCUGCUGGGGAGUGUUUUAUAACACUACAACAGCUAGGGGGGCUCUUGCUUUGGCCCAGGUAUGAUGUUCCAGGCUGUAAUCCUGACCAGUGUGGGGCUAUGUCACCUGACCUGCAACAGGGGGGUGCCUCACCGUGCUUCUCUGUUAUAGCUCUGACUUGGGUAGCUCACAAACAGCCUGUCAGCGUGAUGCUCCACUCCCACCCCCAAGUGUCUGUGUGUGGCUAUGACUCUGAUCCCAGAGCUUGUCAGCACUCACCAGUCACACUUUGGCUUCCAUCAGACCUGGGCUACCACAUGCAGGGUGACCCCAACACACUCCCUGUCCUGAAUUUUACCCCAAAAACAUGUUGUGCACUGUCCAGCCCUCUCCUGGACAGGCCAGAUAGAUUAGGUCUGUUGUACCUCUAGGAGGUCAAUAUACAAAAAUCUGCCACCUUGUGGAUAAUUCCAUUUACAGUUCACAACACUGGAUUAGUUUUGGUUCAAGAAUAAAACAAGUUUAUUUAACUACAUAGAGAGGUUUUACGUGAACAAAAGUAAUAAGGCAUUAAAGAAGAAAUGGUUACAAGAAAAAAAUAAAGAUAAAAUGCUUUCUAAACUUAACAAACUAGGCUUGUGAAGUCCCUUCCCACAGGUUCCAGUAAUAUUGCUGCCCAAACCCUCAGGCCAGUAUCUGCUUCCAGGGUCCAGCAGCUGUUUCUCUGAUCAUCUUAGGUGAAAGGGAGAUUAGGAGGGAGAGAGAACUUGGGUGUUUUUGCCCUUCCCUUUUAUAGCUCGGUCACCAUUUGAAAAACAUUUUCCUGAGUGUUCACCUUAGGUUAAGUGUUUUCUUGCUGAGAGCAUGGAGUUUGGUGGAAGAAGGAGGCUUUGUGCUGUUUCUGUUCAUCCGUGUAUACUGCUUCUUUCUUCCCUCUCUUAUCCUCUGUGGAAUCUGUUUACAGCUGAAAUGCAAAUUGAGGCAAACGCACAUCCCUUUCUUUAGGACAGGUGUGCUUGAUCACUUCCACCUAAUCAGGCUAUGUGAAUUGGAACUUGUGCUUUUAAUACCCUAUAGGUGGAAUUUCAUAACUUUACACAGACUGUUGCUACCGCCAUUUCACCAAAAUAGUAUUGAUCACUGAGUUUCAAAUGCUACCUCACAAGGCAUAUUUUGUCCAAAGAUUGUUACAAUAGUGUGUAGGGUGUGAAUACAGGGGUGCAUUUGGCCACUGUGGGUUGGGAAUUAUCCAUUUGUGAAGGGCUCGCUAACCUUACCCUUCCCUGGAAAUUGCCAGACAAUGAAGGGAAGUGGAGAAUUCUUGCUCCAAUCCUGAAUUGCUGGAAAUCCCAGGCUCGCUGGAGCUGGUUUGAUUUCCCAGUGGAGUCAGUUUUUCUCCCUGGUGGAUUAUGAUUUUCCCCAUUGUAGUUAGUUGCAAUUUGUCUACUUCCCCACAGAUCCUCACUAGCUUCUCUAGGCGUUAUCUCAUUGCUUCAAAUUAAAACUGCUGCCCUUUGGGUCUGUAUGUUCUGGGGUAUUUGCUGUCAUGAGUGACUGUGCUGGCUUGGGCAGGUGCUGGGCAAGGUGGGGGUUGUAAGUUUCUGAUGAAGAAUGUAAAUAAAAUUACCCUGUGACAAA